GAAUGCUGACAUAAGUAACGAUAAAGCGGGUGAAAAGCCCGCUCGCCGGAAGACCAAGGGUUCCUGUCCAACGUUAAUCGGGGCAGGGUGAGUCGACCCCUAAGGCGAGGCCGAAAGGCGUAGUCGAUGGGAAACAGGUUAAUAUUCCUGUACUUGGUGUUACUGCGAAGGGGGGACGGAGAAGGCUAUGUUGGCCGGGCGACGGUUGUCCCGGUUUAAGCGUGUAGGCUGGUUUUCCAGGCAAAUCCGGAAAAUCAAGGCUGAGGCGUGAUGACGAGGCACUACGGUGCUGAAGCGACAAAUGCCCUGCUUCCAGGAAAAGCCUCUAAGCAUCAGGUAACAUCAAAUCGUACCCCAAACCGACACAGGUGGUCAGGUAGAGAAUACCAAGGCGCUUGAGAGAACUCGGGUGAAGGAACUAGGCAAAAUGGUGCCGUAACUUCGGGAG
rnacentral:rRNA from 1 species